UACGUAGGGGGCAAGCGUUGUCCGGAUUUAUUGGGCGUAAAGAGCGUGUAGGCGGCCAGGUAGGUCAGCUGUGAAAACUCGAGGCUCAACCUCGAGAUGUCGGCGGAAACCAUCUGGCUAGAGUCCGGAAGAGGAGAGUGGAAUUCCUGGUGUAGCGGUGAAAUGCGCAGAUAUCAGGAAGAACACCCGUGGCGAAGGCGGCUCUCUGGGACGGUACUGACGCUGAGACGCGAAAGCGUGGGUAGCGAACAGG
rnacentral:rRNA from 1 species